rnacentral:lncRNA from 1 species
AAAGGGAGCCAGCGAUGCCCGUAGCAGCCACCAGCAAUUGUGCCAGCCUUUUCUUUUUUUCUGGCACACUCUGGUACCUGUUCCUGGACCCUGAACCCUCCUCUGCUCACAGACCUGGAUCCUCCUAGCGAUGAAACAGACUGUUUGCAAACAUAUCACUUACAUGAGCAAGGGAGGUAAGCGUCCACAGAGUCAGAAGUUGGCCUAAAAGGUUGAUGUGCUUUGGAGGUUUUGCUUUAACUGCCACUUG